rnacentral:rRNA from 1 species
GACGAACGCUGGCGGCGUGCUUAACACAUGCAAGUCGAACGGAAAGGCCCUGCUUUUGUGGGGUGCUCGAGUGGCGAACGGGUGAGUAACACGUGAGUAACCUGCCCUUGACUUUGGGAUAACUUCAGGAAACUGGGGCUAAUACCGGAUAGGAGCUCCUGCUGCAUGGUGGGGGUUGGAAAGUUUCGGCGGUUGGGGAUGGACUCGCGGCUUAUCAGCUUGUUGGUGGGGUAGUGGCUUACCAAGGCUUUGACGGGUAGCCGGCCUGAGAGGGUGACCGGCCACAUUGGGACUGAGAUACGGCCCAGACUCCUACGGGAGGCAGCAGUGGGGAAUAUUGCACAAUGGGCGGAAGCCUGAUGCAGCAACGCCGCGUGCGGGAUGACGGCCUUCGGGUUGUAAACCGCUUUCGCCUGUGACGAAGCGUGAGUGACGGUAAUGGGUAAAGAAGCACCGGCUAACUACGUGCCAGCAGCCGCAGUGAUACGUAGGGUGCGAGCGUUGUCCGGAUUUAUUGGGCGUAAAGGGCUCGUAGGUGGUUGAUCGCGUCGGAAGUGUAAUCUUGGGGCUUAACCCUGAGCGUGCUUUCGAUACGGGUUGACUUGAGGAAGGUAGGGGAGAAUGGAAUUCCUGGUGGAGCGGUGGAAUGCGCAGAUAUCAGGAGGAACACCAGUGGCGAAGGCGGUUCUCUGGGCCUUUCCUGACGCUGAGGAGCGAAAGCGUGGGGAGCGAACAGGCUUAGAUACCCUGGUAGUCCACGCUGUAAACGGUGGGUACUAGGUGUGGGGUCCAUUCCACGGGUUCCGUGCCGUAGCUAACGCUUUAAGUACCCCGCCUGGGGAGUACGGCCGCAAGGCUAAAACUCAAAGGAAUUGACGGGGCCCCGCACAAGCGGCGGAGCAUGCGGAUUAAUUCGAUGCAACGCGUAGAACCUUACCUGGGUUUGACAUGGAUCGGGAGUGCUCAGAGAUGGGUGUGCCUCUUUUGGGGUCGGUUCACAGGUGGUGCAUGGCUGUCGUCAGCUCGUGUCGUGAAAUGUUGGGUUAAGUCCCGCAACGAGCGCAACCCUUGUUCACUGUUGCCAGCACGUUAUGGUGGGGACUCAGUGGAGACCGCCGGGGUCAACUCGGAGGAAGGUGGGGAUGACGUCAAGUCAUCAUGCCCCUUAUGUCCAGGGCUUCACGCAUGCUACAAUGGCUGGUACAGAGAGUGGCGAGCCUGUGAGGGUGAGCGAAUCUCGGAAAGCCGGUCUCAGUUCGGAUUGGGGUCUGCAACUCGACCUCAUGAAGUCGGAGUCGCUAGUAAUCGCAGAUCAGCAACGCUGCGGUGAAUACGUUCCCGGGGCU